rnacentral:rRNA from 1 species
UACGUAGGCAGCGAGCGUUGUUCGGAGUUACUGGGCGUAAAGGGUGCGUAGGCGGUUGUUUAAGUUUGGUGUGAAAUCUCCCGGCUCAACUGGGAGGGUGCGCCGAAAACUGGGAGACUAGAGUGCGGGAUGGGAGAGUAGAAUUCCUGGUGUAGCGGUGAAAUGCGUAGAUAUCAGGAGGAAUACCGGUGGUGUAGACGGCUCUCUGGACCGCAACUGACGCUGAGACACGAAAGCGUGGGUAGCAAACAGG